AAGUCAUUGGGUGUAUAAAACCCAAAGGCGAAAUGAAAGUAAAGAGUUGAGUUUUAUGGAUUAAAUUUUUUUUUUUCCAUUUCUCUCUUAAGGGAAGAUGAAAAUUUAAUUAUCAAUAUAUUUAUAUAUUGUUAAUAUAAAUUUUUCGCACUCCCAGGGCGCUUGUUUCACGCUUUGCGUGUCAAUGCGCACCCAGAGCGUACACGCUGAUACCCGAAAGAUGGUGAACUAUGCCUGGCCAGGACGAAGCCAGGGGAAACCCUGGUGGAGGUCCGCAGCGAUUCUGACGUGCAAAUCGAUCGUCGGAGCUGGGUAUAGGGGCGAAAGACCAAUCGAACCAUCUAGUAGCUGGUUCCCUCUGAAGUUUCCCUCAGGAUAGCUUGCGCUCGGUUGAGAAAAGUCUCAUCUGGUAGAGCGAAUGAUUAGAGGCAUUGGGGUCGAAACGACCUCAACCUAUUCUCAAACUCCAAAUAGAUGAGACCCCCGGCUUUCUUAAAAUUGAAGCCGUGGGAUUCUGGAUCARAGUGCCAAGUGGGCCAAUUUUGGUAA
rnacentral:rRNA from 1 species